CAAGUCGAGCGAACGGACGAGAAGCUUGCUUCUCUGAUGUUAGCGGCGGACGGGUGAGUAACACGUGGAUAACCUACCUAUAAGACUGGGAUAACUUCGGGAAACCGGAGCUAAUACCGGAUAAUAUUUUGAACCGCAUGGUUCAAAAGUGAAAGACGGUCUUGCUGUCACUUAUAGAUGGAUCCGCGCUGCAUUAGCUAGUUGGUAAGGUAACGGCUUACCAAGGCAACGAUGCAUAGCCGACCUGAGAGGGUGAUCGGCCACACUGGAACUGAGACACGGUCCAGACUCCUACGGGAGGCAGCAGUAGGGAAUCUUCCGCUAUGGGCGAAAGCCUGACGGAGCAACGCCGCGUGAGUGAUGAAGGUCUUCGGAUCGUAAAACUCUGUUAUUAGGGAAGAACAUAUGUGUAAGUAUCUGUGCACAUCUUGACGGUACCUAAUCAGAAAGCCACGGCUAACUACGUGCCAGCAGCCGCGGUAAUACGUAGGUGGCAAGCGUUAUCCGGAAUUAUUGGGCGUAAAGCGCGCGUAGGCGGUUUUUUAAGUCUGAUGUGAAAGCCCACGGCUCAACCGUGGAGGGUCAUUGGAAACUGGAAAACUUGAGUGCAGAAGAGGAAAGUGGAAUUCCAUGUGUAGCGGUGAAAUGCGCAGAGAUAUGGAGGAACACCAGUGGCGAAGGCGACUUUCUGGUCUGUAACUGACGCUGAUGUGCGAAA
rnacentral:rRNA from 1 species